UACGUAGGAGGCAAGCGUUGUCCGGAUUUAUUGGGCGUAAAGAGCGUGUAGGCGGUCAGGUAGGUUCGUUGUGAAAACUCGAGGCUCAACCUCGAGACGCCGAUGGAAACCAUCUGACUAGAGUCCGGAAGAGGAGAGUGGAAUUCCUGGUGUAGCGGUGAAAUGCGCAGAUAUCAGGAAGAACACCCGUGGCUAAGGCGGCUCUCUAGUACGGUACUGACGCUGAGACGCGAAAGCGUGGGGAGCGAACAGG
rnacentral:rRNA from 1 species